GACAGAGGGGGCAAGCGUUGCUCGGAAUCACUGGGCGUAAAGGGCGCGUAGGCGGGAUGGCAGGUCGGUCGUGAAAUCCUUCGGCUCAACCGAAGAACGUCGGCCGAUACUGCCGUUCUUGAGGGAUGCAGAGGAGAUUGGAAUUCCCGGUGUAGCGGUGAAAUGUGUAGAGAUCGGGAGGAACACCGGUGGCGAAGGCGGGUCUCUGGGCAUCUCCUGACGCUGAGGCACGAAGGCCAGGGGAGCAAACGGG
rnacentral:rRNA from 1 species